GGCUCAGAGUGAUCGCUGGCGGCGUGCUUAACACAUGCAAGUCGAGCGAAUUUCAGCAGUGUAUCGCUGAAGUUAGCGGCAGACGGGUGAGUAAUACUUGGGCAAUCUGCCCUUGAGAGGGAAACAACCGGCCGAAAGGCUGGCUAAUGUCCCAUAAGACCACAGGAAUGCAUAUUCCAGAGGUCAAAGCUCCGCAAGGGGCGCUUGAGGAGGAGCCCGAGUCCUAUCAGCUAGUUGGUGAGGUAACGGCUCACCAAGGCUUUGACGGGUAGCCGGCCUGAAAGGGUGAUCGGCCACACUGGCACUGAGACACGGGCCAGACUCCUACGGGAGGCAGCAGUGGGGAAUUUUGGACAAUGGGGGCAACCCUGAUCCAGCGACGCCGCGUGAAGGAUGAAGGCCUUCGGGUUGUAAACUUCUUUUAGAGGGGAUGAAUGCCUACGUGAAUAACGUAGGGUGACAGUACUCUUUGAAUAAGCCACGGCUAACUACGUGCCAGCAGCCGCGGUAAUACGUAGGUGGCAAGCGAUACUCGGAAUCACUAGGCGUAAAGCGCAGGUAGGUGGUUUGGUAAGUCUUUUGUGAAAGCUCCCGGCUUAACUGGGAGAGGUCAAAGGAAACUACCAGACUAGAGUUUGGUAGGGGAUACUGGAAUUCCUGGUGUAGCGGUGAAAUGCGUAGAUAUCAGGAGGAAUACCUAUGGCGAAAGCAGGUAUCUGGGCCAUAACUGACACUGAGCUGCGAAAGCUAGGGGAGCAAACAGGAUUAGAUACCCUGGUAGUCCUAGCCCUAAACGAUGUUCAUUAGAUGUGGGAGGUAUCGACCCCUUCCGCGUCGCAGCUAACGCAUUAAAUGAACCGCCUGGGGAGUACG
rnacentral:rRNA from 1 species